AUUGAACGCUGGCGGCAUGCCUUACACAUGCAAGUCGAACGGCAGCACGGGUGCUUGCACCUGGUGGCGAGUGGCGAACGGGUGAGUAAUACAUCGGAACAUGUCCUGUAGUGGGGGAUAGCCCGGCGAAAGCCGGAUUAAUACCGCAUACGAUCUACGGAUGAAAGCGGGGGACCUUCGGGCCUCGCGCUAUAGGGUUGGCCGAUGGCUGAUUAGCUAGUUGGUGGGGUAAAGGCCUACCAAGGCGACGAUCAGUAGCUGGUCUGAGAGGACGACCAGCCACACUGGGACGGAGACACGGCCCAGACUCCUACGGGAGGCAGCAGUGGGGAAUUUUGGACAAUGGGCGAAAGCCUGAUCCAGCAAUGCCGCGUGUGUGAAGAAGGCCUUCGGGUUGUAAAGCACGUUUGUCCGGAAAGAAAUCCUUGGCCCUAAUACGGUCGGGGGGAUGACGGUACCGGAAGAAUAAGCACCGGCUAACUACGUG
rnacentral:rRNA from 1 species